ACUCCUACGGGAGGCAGCAGUGGGGAAUAUUGGACAAUGGGCGAAAGCCUGAUCCAGCCAUGCCGCGUGAGUGACGAAGGCCUUAGGGUUGUAAAACUCUUUUGGCGGGGACGAUAAUGACGGUACCCGCAGAAUAAGCCCGCCGUAUCACUUCGUGCCAGCAGCCGCGGUAAUACGAAGGGCGUAGCGUUGUUCGGAAUCACUGGGCGUAAAGCGCACGUAGGCGGACUGUCAGUUGGG
rnacentral:rRNA from 1 species